GACCCCGGCGCCGGUGGCGAUGACGGACCCGCCGGGCGCGCUGGAGAAGGACGCCGUCACGAUCGGCCGCGCGCUGGAGGCUGUGGGCGCGAUGGUCGGGGACAGGCCGGUGGAGCAGAGCGACGCGGCGGCCGUCCAGGUCGCGGAGCUGUGCGCCACGGGGUCCGACUCCACCGUCCCCGGAGGCCUAGCCGCGGCGGCGCAGUCGGCGGCCGACUAGAACGCCCGCGCCGCGCGCGACGAGGACAAGGUCAAGCUCCGGAACGUCCUCUCGAACGCGAGGGAGAAGCUGCCGGCGGACAAGGGGGCGACGUGGGAGGACGCCGAGAGGGUGGUGUCCGCGGAGAUACGGAACAAGCUGGACAUGGCGACCACGCCGGGCGGCAUGGCGGACGCGGUGACUACAGCGGCCCGGCUCAACCAGGAGCGCCCGAGGCCAUAGGUCGUCGUGGCCUUUAUAUCCCACUAGCUAGCUCCUCUCCUCU